GCUAAACGCGAAGAACCUUACCGAGGUUUGACAUCCCAGGAAAGCCGCCGAAAGGUGGCCGUGCCUUCGGGAACCUGGUGACAGAUGCUGCAUGGCCGUCGUCAGCUCGUGUCGUGAGAUGUUGGGUUAAGUCCCGCAACGAGCGCAACCCUUGUCGUAUGUUGUUUUUUCAUACGAGACUGCCCGGGCCAACCGGGAGGAAGGUGGGGAUGACGUCUGGUCGGCAUGGCUCUUACACCUCGGGCCACACACGUCCUACAAUGGGUAGUACAAUGGGCAGCCAAACCGUAAGGUGGAGCAAAUCCCACCAAAACUACCCCCAGUUCGGAUUGAGGGCUGAAACUCGCCCUCAUGAAGUUGGAAUCGCUAGUAAUGGCAGGUCAGCACACUGCCGUGAAUACGUUCCCGGGUCUUGUACACACCG
rnacentral:rRNA from 1 species